rnacentral:rRNA from 1 species
AUUGAACGCUGGCGGCAGGCCUAACACAUGCAAGUCGAGCGGAUGAAGGGAGCUUGCUCCUGGAUUCAGCGGCGGACGGGUGAGUAAUGCCUAGGAAUCUGCCUGGUAGUGGGGGAUAACGUCCGGAAACGGGCGCUAAUACCGCAUACGUCCUGAGGGAGAAAGUGGGGGAUCUUCGGACCUCACGCUAUCAGAUGAGCCUAGGUCGGAUUAGCUAGUUGGUGGGGUAAAGGCCUACCAAGGCGACGAUCCGUAACUGGUCUGAGAGGAUGAUCAGUCACACUGGAACUGAGACACGGUCCAGACUCCUACGGGAGGCAGCAGUGGGGAAUAUUGGACAAUGGGCGAAAGCCUGAUCCAGCCAUGCCGCGUGUGUGAAGAAGGUCUUCGGAUUGUAAAGCACUUUAAGUUGGGAGGAAGGGCAGUAAGUUAAUACCUUGCUGUUUUGACGUUACCAACAGAAUAAGCACCGGCUAACUUCGUC